GACGACGCCAGACGUGCCGGUGCCCUUCGGGGCCUUGAAAGGGAAUGCGGUGCGGGCGGAGCAUGAUCCGUCCAAGGCCGCGGCUGACCCUGCAACUGUAAGCGGCGAGCCAGCGGGCCCGAUGCCAUUGGGAAAAUGCUUCCCGAGAAGGCGGCCCGACCGGCCCUGACCCGCGAGCCAGGAGACCUGCCGGCGCGGGUCGCUCAUG
rnacentral:ncRNA from 2 species